AGGGAUGUAGGGAGAGAGAGGGUCUUCGAAAUCAGCAGCUGAAGGACCAUCCUUCCUGUUAUUGGGAACCAGCCCGCCUGGUGUCAUAGCUGAUGCAGAGGAGAGCUGAGACAUGGAGAGAGAGGCGGGUUUUUGAGGACACUGCUUGAACCCCUGAAUCCAGCCAUGCCUGAAGAGACACAGCCUUGCUCUGUUGCCCAAGCUGGGGUGCAGUGGUAUGAUCAUAGCUCACUGCCGCCUUGAACUCCUGAGAUCAAGCGAUCCUCCUGCCUCGGCUUCCAACUAGCUAGAACUACACACGUGUCACCCCCUAUGGCUAAUUUUUAAAAUUUUUUUUAAGAGCUGGGGUCUUGUUAUGUUGCCCAGGCUGGUCUUGAGCUCCUGGUCUCAAGUGAUUCUCCUGCUUCAGCCUCCCAAAGUGCUGGGAUUAUAGGUGUGGACCACUGCUCCCAGCUCUCAUCAGUUUCUUGAAGUCCAGAUCAUCAAUAAAACAAUAAAUCAA